GACGAACGCUGGCGGCGUGCCUAAUACAUGCAAGUAGGACGCACAGCCUAUACCGUAGCUUGCUACACCAUAGGCUGUGAGUUGCGAACGGGUGAGUAACGCGUAGGUAACCUGCCUAUUAGAGGGGGAUAACUAUUGGAAACGAUAGCUAAUACCGCAUAACAGUAUGUAACACAUGUUAGAUGCUUGAAAGAUGCAAUUGCAUCGCUAGUAGAUGGACCUGCGUUGUAUUAGCUAGUAGGUAGGGUAAUGGCCUACCUAGGCAACGAUACAUAGCCGACCUGAGAGGGUGAUCGGCCACACUGGGACUGAGACACGGCCCAGACUCCUACGGGAGGCAGCAGUAGGGAAUCUUCGGCAAUGGGGGGAACCCUGACCGAGCAACGCCGCGUGAGUGAAGAAGGUUUUCGGAUCGUAAAGCUCUGUUGUUAAGGAAGAACGAG
rnacentral:rRNA from 1 species